rnacentral:rRNA from 1 species
AGAGUUUGAUCCUGGCUCAGGACGAACGCUGGCGGCGUGCCUAAUACAUGCAAGUCGAACGAAGCUUUCUUUCACCGAAUGCUUGCAUUCACCGAAAGAAGCUUAGUGGCGAACGGGUGAGUAACACGUAGGCAACCUGCCCAAAAGAGGGGGAUAACACUUGGAAACAGGUGCUAAUACCGCAUAACCAUGAACACCGCAUGAUGUUCGUGUAAAAGACGGCUUUUGCUGUCACUUUUGGAUGGGCCUGCGGCGUAUUAACUUGUUGGUGGGGUAACGGCCUACCAAGGUGAUGAUACGUAGCCGAACUGAGAGGUUGAUCGGCCACAUUGGGACUGAGACACGGCCCAAACUCCUACGGGAGGCAGCAGUAGGGAAUCUUCCACAAUGGACGAAAGUCUGAUGGAGCAACGCCGCGUGAAUGAAGAAGGCCUUCGGGUCGUAAAAUUCUGUUGUCAGAGAAGAAUGUGCGUGAGAGUAACUGUUCACGUAUUGACGGUAUCUGACCAGAAAGCCACGGCUAACUACGUGCCAGCAGCCGCGGUAAUACGUAGGUGGCAAGCGUUGUCCGGAUUUAUUGGGCGUAAAGGGAACGCAGGCGGUCUUUUAAGUCUGAUGUGAAAGCCUUCGGCUUAACCGAAGUAGUGCAUUGGAAACUGGAAGACUUGAGUGCAGAAGAGGAGAGUGGAACUCCAUGUGUAGCGGUGAAAUGCGUAGAUAUAUGGAAGAACACCAGUGGCGAAAGCGGCUCUCUGGUCUGUAACUGACGCUGAGGUUCGAAAGCGUGGGUAGCAAACAGGAUUAGAUACCCUGGUAGUCCACGCCGUAAACGAUGAGUGCUAAGUGUUGGAGGGUUUCCGCCCUUCAGUGCUGCAGCUAACGCAUUAAGCACUCCGCCUGGGGAGUACGGUCGCAAGACUGAAACUCAAAGGAAUUGACGGGGGCCCGCACAAGCGGUGGAGCAUGUGGUUUAAUUCGAAGCAACGCGAAGAACCUUACCAGGUCUUGACAUCUUCUGACAAUUCCAGAGAUGGAACGUUCCCUUCGGGGACAGAAUGACAGGUGGUGCAUGGUUGUCGUCAGCUCGUGUCGUGAGAUGUUGGGUUAAGUCCCGCAACGAGCGCAACCCUUAUUGUCAGUUGCCAUCAUUAAGUUGGGCACUCUGGCGAGACUGCCGGUGGCAAACCGAAGGAAGGUGGGGAUGACGUCAAAUCAUCAUGCCCCUUAUGACCUGGGCUACACACGUGCUACAAUGGACGGUACAACGAGUCGCUAACUCGCGAGGGCAAGCUAAUCUCUUAAAGCCGUUCUCAGUUCGGAUUGCAGGCUGCAACUCGCCUGCAUGAAGUCGGAAUCGCUAGUAAUCGCGAAUCAGCAUGUCGCGGUGAAUACGUUCCCGGGCCUUGUACACACCGCCCGUCACACCAUGAGAGUUUGUAACACCCAAAGUCGGUGGGGUAACCUUUUGGAGCCAGCCGCCUAAGGUGGGACAGAUGAUUGGGGUGAAGUCGAAACAAGGUA